rnacentral:lncRNA from 1 species
UGCUUCAUCUUUCUCCUUCUCCGCCAGCACCGCCGCCUUCUCUGGCUUGGGCUGGAGCUCUGGUUUUGGGGGCACCUCAUUUCUCCACGACAGUGGGCUUCUUCACCACCAACACGUCGAUCACCACUACCCCCUCAGUUGCGUUUGCCACCGCCUUGGGAGCCAAUGUCUUCUUGGUUUCCUUGGCUAUGUCGAAGGAACAACGUUGUUAGGAAAGGAAACUGGAAAAUAUUUGAGAUUUUGGUUAGAAAAAGCUAGAAAGUUUGAAUUUGUGAAUUGAGUUUUUUGUCUUCUAAGUAUUUAAGUAAGAAAUGAUAUUGUCGCACAAAUAUUAGGUGAAUUUUUUUUUCUAAUAAAAUGACCACCUCAUCUAAAAUAUGCUACACGUAUUGACAAGUUGGAUAUUUGCUGAAACACAUCAACUUUCAGUCGCCGAUUUUUUUUUUCAUUUUUUGAGGACCACAAACAAUAAAAAGUUGCAAUGAUGGGUAUUGUCUUGUAAUUAGUCGUAGGGUAGAACAUUUUUGAAAAAACGCUCAAACGAUGUGUCAAAAAGUGAUAUUUACCCCAAUAAAGAAUUAUAAUUGUUUAUUCUUUUAGAUUUACUUACAUUAUAGGAUUAAUAUAUUAGGAAUUUAAUUGGAGUUGUAG